rnacentral:rRNA from 1 species
CCCGCAAGGGUGAGUAGAGUGGCGCACGGGUGAGUAACACGUAAGUAAUCUGCCCUCGAGCGGGGGAUAACGUUCCGAAAGGGACGCUAAUACCGCAUGACCCGGUAGGGACCCAGGUCCCAGCCGGCAAAGAUGGCCUCUGCUUGCACGCUAUCGCUUGAGGAGGAGCGUGCGCCCCAUUAGGUAGUUGGUGAGGUAAUGGCUCACCAAGCCUACGAUGGGUAGCCGGCCUGAGAGGGUAACCGGCCACACUGGCACUGAGACACGGGCCAGACUCCUACGGGAGGCAGCAGUGAGGAAUUUUGGGCAAUGGGCGAAAGCCUGACCCAGCGACGCCGCGUGGGUGAUGAAGGCCUUCGGGUCGUAAAACCCUGUGAGUUGGGAAGAAGCCGUUGCGUGCUAAUACCACGUCGCGGUGACAGUACCAACAGAGGAAGCCCCGGCUAACUACGUGCCAGCAGCCGCGGUAAUACGUAGGGGGCUAGCGUUGUUCGGAAUUACUGGGCGUAAAGCGCGUGUAGGCGGCUUGGCAAGUCGGAAGUGAAAGCCCC